AACCAGAAUUUCCCAAAUUUCCGGUAAUUUCUUUCAAAGUGGAAACACGGAUUAGAAUGAAGCAGUGAAAGAUU